GGGAACUGGAGUCAGCUGGCUCCUUUGUGAAGGGGAAAGAGUCAGGGCUCUGAGGAGCUGCCCACGAGAAACACCAAGAAGGUGAGAACCGAGGUGCAAUGAGGUUGAGACCAGUGUUUUGGGUUUGCUGAGUUAGUCUGCCCAGCAGAGGAGGGAGCUGAGUUCGCCUUUUCUCGAGAUCAAGAGCAGCAUUCUGUCCACUCUGAUCUGCAGUGGUCGGUCACUUCCCUCCUCGCAGAGCUCCCAGGCCCAGAGCCUUGGGGAGGUCACAGCCAUUCAGUGACCACUUUUCCCUCAGACGACCAAAUCCUUCCUCCUCUUUGAAAGAAAUACCAAAGAAGGGAGCGAGUUAUUGCCGCUAGGGCCAAAGUCAGUAAUUUUGCCAAAUACAAA